rnacentral:misc_RNA from 1 species
AACUUUCAACAACGGAUCUCUUGGUUCUGGCAUCGAUGAAGAACGCAGCGAAAUGCGAUAAGUAAUGUGAAUUGCAGAAUUCCGUGAAUCAUCGAAUCUUUGAACGCAUAUUGCGCCCUCUGGUAUUCCGGGGGGCAUGCCUGUCCGAGCGUCAUUAAUCAUAAUCAAGCGCGGCUUGUUGUUGAGCCUUUGUCCCCCCCCUUCUUUUGUUUGAGGGGACAGGCUUGAAAUUCAGUGGCGAUCGCUGAGAUUGUUGCUAGAGUGUAUAGGGCUCCGUCACACACUCCUGGUGGCUUCAGCUCGCAUUCCGCCAUACCUAAGAUAAAUUUUCGGUCUGAUUGACCUCGGAUCAGGUAGGRAUACCCGCUGAACUUAAGCAUAUCAAUAAGCGGAGGAAAAGAAACCAACAGGGAUUGCCUCAGUAACGGCGAGUGAAGCGGCAAAAGCUCAAAUUUGAAAUCUGGCUUCCAGUUUCUGGAGUCCGAGUUGUAAUUUGCAGAGGAUGCUUUGGGUGUCGGUUGCGGUUUAAGUUCCUUGGAACAGGGCAUCGUAGAGGGUGAGAAUCCCGUCUGAAACCGCCAACCCAGCCCAUGUAAAGCUCCUUCGACGAGUCGAGUUGUUUGGGAAUGCAGCUCUAAAUGGGUGGUAAAUUUCAUCUAAAGCUAAAUAUUGGCCAGAGACCGAUAGCGCACAAGUAGAGUGAUCGAAAGAUGAAAAGCACUUUGAAAAGAGAGUUAAACAGCAUGUGAAAUUGUUGAAAGGGAA